rnacentral:tRNA from 1 species
GGGGUUGUGGCUCAGUGGUAGAGUGCUCGCCUAGCACGUGUGAGGCCCUCUGUUCAAUCCUCAGCACCACA